AAAAAUAUUUAAGUAGUAAUAGUUAUGUUCUUGAAACUUAAAAAAUUUGGCGGUAUUUUAGUCUAUCCAGAGGAACCUGUUUUGUAAUCGAUAAUCCACGAUGGACCUUACUUAAAUUUGUAAUCAGUUUAUAUACCGUCGUUAUCAGAAUAUUUUAUAAGAAUAUUAAUAUUCAAUAAUUUUAAUUAAAAUUUAUAUCAGAUCAAGGUGUAGCUUAUAUUUAAGUAAUAAUGGGUUACAAUAAAUUUAUUUAUACGGAUAAAAUUAUGAAAAAAUUUUUGAAGGUGGAUUUGGUAGUAAAAUUAUAAAGAUUAAUAAUUUGAUUUUAGCUCUAAAAUAUGUACACAUCGCCCGUCGCUCUUAUUAUUAAGGUAAGAUAAGUCGUAACAUAGUAGAUGUACUGGAAAGUGUAUCUAGAAUGA
rnacentral:rRNA from 1 species